UAUGGCGGCUUCUAAGAACAGUCUGGAGAUUCCUGUGCUGCUGUGGACACGAUAACUCUGACGUUCAGUUCUCAGUUGAAGAAACAGCUCCAUCUCUUGGUGUCAGCACUGUACGACCAUGGAAUUAUGGUGGAGGUAUUAUCAGGACAGUUUAGAACACUCGAAUCAAGAUUAAGAAACAACUUUAAGUUUAGCACUUAUAAGAUGGAGGAUUGGCCCCCUUGAAAUCAUUGUUGCCCCAGCCACAUCUGUUGCAAAUUCCCGAGAGGAGCCGAUGUCGAGGUGGGACAGAGUUACUGGCGCUCUCGCCCCAUGAAGCGAAGAAUUAUGAAGUAUGAAGAAGGAGUUCUGGAACUACGUUGGGUUUGGUUUGGUCCAUGCAAAGCCGCAUUAGAGCAUAAUCUUGUCUAUUUGAUGGUAAUAGGGAACCCGGGCCACGUGUUGUCACUAAGAUUUAAUUUGACCAACAGUGUUGAGAUUUCUGAUGUCAAAUGAAUUCAAUCACUCAGUCAUUCCUGCUUCAUCGUGAGCAAGAAUAUCAGAGCUGGUAUACAGCACACAAUUUUAUACCAAAGUUCAACGAGAAUAUUUAAGGCCAGUUAGUAAGUAUAUUUCUUCUCUUUCAAAGAAAAUAGUCCCAAAAGAAGCCAAAGCAUCAAGCUAUCAAAUUAUGCACAGACUGGAUGUAAAUAAAUACAUUAUUGGAGUAUUGUCUUACUUUAUCAAAGCAUAAUAUGUUACUUUUUUGCGCCACUGCAUUUCAUAAAUAUCGCUCCUCACUGAUCGUUCAUUUGAAAACAUGAUAGUGGUGUCUGAUAGAAUCAUUCUUUAUCAUAGAGUGGGUAUAGAAAAGAAUCACCCCCCUUUCAAAUAAUCACAUUUUGUUGCU